ACUUUAAAUCGUACAGGGAACGGGCUCCCCAAGAAAGGGAACGUCUGAAAAGAUUUAAAGGAAGUACUCUUCAAGACAGAAGAGACAUGGAUAUUGUUUUAGGGCCCAGGAAGGAGACAGGAUUCACCUGAAGAGGCUGGGCCAGAGCAGUGAGCCGGCCAUGUGCUUCCAGGGACUGCAAGCAUUGACAUCACCUGCAGCAGCUGCUUGCCACUUUUUCCUUCUGUUGGGCACCAGGUUUCCACGUGCUGCUGGACCAUAGUUUGAGACUACACACCCCCAUCUGGACCCUAUUAAAAUGCAUCUCUUGACCAGUCACAGGAGGAGCCUGGGAGGGGGAGGAGAAGUCAAGGGAGAGGAGAAGUCAAGACAAGUUGACCUCAAAGGUACCACGGAAAAGUAAUGAUUAACACUGCUGCAGUCUGGGAACAGUUUAUUCAACUGCGGUGACGGAAACAAGGAGAAAGCCCUUCCUCAAACCCCUCGGCAAAAUCUGCUUUCCACUUCUGACUGAUGGUGGGAAGAAGAAAGACGCUGCAUUUGGAAGGACUGUCAGAAUCAAAUAUGUCUGAAAUCUUAAAUGCUUCUCAGUGUCUGUUUUGUGAUUUUUAAAAUUUUGUUUACAAAAGCUUUUCUCUUUCCUCCCCCUCUCUCCUUCUCUCUCCUUCCUCCCUUCCUUCCUUCCUUUCAGUGAAAAGAGGAAAGGAUAACAAAAUAUUGCUCAUUUGGGAAAGGUAACAAUAGAAAGCCAGCAAAAACUGCAUCUGGAUCCACCUUCCAAUGCAGGGGAUGUGGGUUCGAUCCCUGGUUGGGGACCUAAGAUCCCUCAUGCCACGGAGCACCUGAACCAGCACGCUGCAACCACGGAGACUGCAUGCCACAACUAGAGAGUCUGUGCGCAGCAAGGAGUAUCUCAAGGGCUGCAACUGAGAUCUGACACAGCCAAAUAAACAAAUAAAUAAUUAAAAAGAGAGAAGACUCUGCACCUGGGAGUAAGGGGAGAGCUUCCCCUUCCAUGACCGAGUGGAAGCCUAGAAUGUCAAAAUAAGGAGGGGCCUCAGGGAUCGUCCUGACUCAUCUUCUCAAAGAAGAUGGACCCAAAGGUUGAUCUCUCGCACAGGACUCUUCAUCACAGCACUGCCACUUCCUCUGCUCCAGGCUGGAAGCAGGCUGGGCAGAGCUUGUUAGGCAAUGUCAUGAGUUUUGCUGCAGCUCUCUCUGAAGCAGGGGUGACAUGACACGUUUGAACCUCUGAGCUAGAGCAUCCUCUGGAUCAUGCUGAGACUUGGUCAGCUUGGGCGGACAGGGUGGUUGAGAGUUUUGCACUCCAACUAUGUGCUGGGGUCUAAAAGUCCACUGUUUUAUGGAAGAGACUUGGAGACAGUAACUCAGGAGAAGAUCAAACAGAGAAGACUCCAGGGUUAUUCCAGGGUUAAACAAGACAGGAAGUGGAAAGGACCGCCAGGGAGGGCCUCAACCCAUGAUGCCUUCUACCAGGCUUCUUUAAGAACCAACCAGAAGAAAAACAUCUCAAGACAACCAGUAUCCUGUUCCAAAGAAUUAGAACAGAUCACCAGGAAUUUUGCACUUAAGAUCUUAUUUGUGGCAAAGAUUAGGAGAAAGCCAAAACAAAGCUCAACACCAACACCACCACCAUCAACAGAAGAAAUCUCCUGAGCCAUGCAGGCCCCAGCAGCAAGCCAAGGAAGGCAAACUGGGAUUGGGGGGCCAGAGGGUAACCCAGGAUGGUGGCUAGAUGGGGUGAGUGGCUUCAGCAGCCAGAGGUCUUCCCUUAGGCCUAGGAGGUGACACAAGCAAUUCUCCCAGGAUCACCUUGAUGAAGCAAUAAAUAAAGGUAACAAGGCGGAAGGUCA
ensembl:lncRNA